AAUAGAUACCCCGGUAGUCCACGCCGUAAACGAUGAGUGCUAAGUGUUAGAGGGUUUCCGCCCUUUAGUGCUGCAGCUAACGCAUUAAGCACUCCGCCUGGGGAGUACGGCCGCAAGGCUGAAACUCAAAGGAAUUGACGGGGGCCCGCACAAGCGGUGGAGCAUGUGGUUUAAUUCGAAGCAACGCGAAGAACCUUACCAGGUCUUGACAUCCUCUGCCAACCCUAGAGAUAGGGCGUUCCCCUUCGGGGGACAGAGUGACAGGUGGUGCAUGGUUGUCGUCAGCUCGUGUCGUGAGAUGUUGGGUUAAGUCCCGCAACGAGCGCAACCCUUGAUCUUAGUUGCCAGCAUUUAGUUGGGCACUCUAAGGUGACUGCCGGUGACAAACCGGAGGAAGGUGGGGAUGACGUCAAAUCAUCAUGCCCCUUAUGACCUGGGCUACACACGUGCUACAAUGGAUGGUACAAAGAGCUGCGAACCCGCGAGGGUAAGCCAAUCUCAUAAAGCCAUUCUCAGUUCGGA
rnacentral:rRNA from 1 species